GAUGAACGCUGGCGGCGUGCCUAAUACAUGCAAGUCGAGCGAACAGACGAGGAGCUUGCUCCUCUGACGUUAGCGGCGGACGGGUGAGUAACACGUGGAUAACCUACCUAUAAGACUGGGAUAACUUCGGGAAACCGGAGCUAUUACCGGAUAAUAUAUUGAACCGCAUGGUUCAAUAGUGAAAGACGGUUUUGCUGUCACUUAUAGAUGGAUCCGCGCCGCAUUAGCUAGUUGGUAAGGUAACGGCUUACCAAGGCAACGAUGCGUAGCCGACCUGAGAGGGUGAUCGGCCACACUGGAACUGAGACACGGUCCAGACUCUUACGGGAGGCAGCAGUAGGGAAUCUUCCGCAAUGGGCGAAAGCCUGACGGAGCAACGCCGCGUGAGUGAUGAAGGUCUUCGGAUCGUAAAACUCUGUUAUUAGGGAAGAACAAAUGUGUAAGUAACUAUGCACGUCUUGACGGUACCUAAUCAGAAAGCCACGGCUAACUACGUG
rnacentral:rRNA from 1 species